UCUUCGGAAUUAGAGACCGGCGCACGGGUGCGUAACGCGUAUGCAAUCUACCUUUCACAGAGGGAUAGCCCAGAGAAAUUUGGAUUAAUACCUCAUAGUAUAGUGAUACCGCAUGGUACUACUAUUAAAGUCACAACGGUGAAAGAUGAGCAUGCGUCCCAUUAGCUAGUUGGUAAGGUAACGGCUUACCAAGGCUACGAUGGGUAGGGGUCCUGAGAGGGAGAUCCCCCACACUGGUACUGAGACACGGACCAGACUCCUACGGGAGGCAGCAGUGAGGAAUAUUGGACAAUGGGCGCAAGCCUGAUCCAGCCAUGCCGCGUGCAGGAUGACGGUCCUAUGGAUUGUAAACUGCUUUUGUACGGGAAGAAACACUCCUUCGUGAAGGAGCUUGACGGUACCGUAAGAAUAAGGAUCGGCUAACUCCGUGCCAGCAGCCGCGGUAAUACGGAGGAUCCAAGCGUUAUCCGGAAUCAUUGGGUUUAAAGGGUCCGUAGGCGGUUUAGUAAGUCAGUGGUGAAAGCCCAUCGCUCAACGGUGGAACGGCCAUUGAUACUGCUAGACUUGAAUUAUUAGGAAGUAACUAGAAUAUGUAGUGUAGCGGUGAAAUGCUUAGAGAUUACAUGGAAUACCAAUUGCGAAGGCAGGUUACUACUAAUGGAUUGACGCUGAUGGACGAAAGCGUGGGUAGCGAAC
rnacentral:rRNA from 1 species